AACGCACAUUGCGCCCCCUGGCAUUCCGGGGGGCAUGCCUGUCUGAGCGUCGGUUCCGACCACGCCCUCGAGCGUCUGCUCGGUCCUGGGCCCCGCCGUCUCUGGCUGGCCCCAAACGCAGUGGCAGCCCCCGCGGGCCGCGCGCGAGGUACGAACUUCCAAAGCGCGUCCUGGCCCCGCGGGUCGGCCGACCAGCAAGCCUGUCCCUCCGAAGGUUGACCUCAGAUCAGGUAGGAGUACCCGCUGAACUUAA
rnacentral:misc_RNA from 1 species